UUUUUUUCCCCAACAACACAAAAAAACACAAUUGCUUCUUCAACUUCUUCUCUUAUCCAUAAGCUGAAAAAAAAGAAAAAGAAUAUUGAACAAUCCAUUGAAGAAAGAAGGCAUUUAUAUUGUGAUCAAAAGGAGGGUUUCCACUUGUGAUUUCCUUUCAGACAUUAACGUGAUCCAACAUUCGAUCAUUCCGCUGCAAGACUCAUGAAGAAAG
rnacentral:lncRNA from 1 species